rnacentral:rRNA from 1 species
GACGAACGCUGGCGGCGUGCCUAAUACAUGCAAGUCGAGCGGACAGAAGGGAGCUUGCUCCCGGAGGUUAGCGGCGGACGGGUGAGUAACACGUGGGCAACCUACCCUGUAGAUCGGGAUAACAUCGAGAAAUCGGUGCUAAUACCGGAUAAUCAUUUGAAGUGCAUGCUUCGAAUGUAAAAGAUGGCUCCGGCUAUCACUACGGGAUGGGCCCGCGGCGCAUUAGCUAGUUGGUAAGGUAAUGGCUUACCAAGGCAACGAUGCGUAGCCGACCGGAGAGGGUGUUCGGCCACACUGGGACUGAGACACGGCCCAGACUCCUACGGGAGGCAGCAGUAGGGAAUCUUCCGCAAUGGACGAAAGUCUGACGGAGCAACGCCGCGUGAGUGAUGAAGGUUUUCGGAUCGUAAAGCUCUGUUGUUAGGGAAGAACAAGUGCCGUUUGAAUAAGGCGGCACCUUGACGGUACCUAACCAGAAAGCCACGGCUAACUGCGUGCCAGCCGCCGCGGUAAUAC